GCCUGGCUGGCUCAGCCGGUAAAGCGUGCGACUCUUGAUCUCGGGGUCUUGAGUUCGAGCCCCACGUUGGGCA
rnacentral:tRNA from 1 species